rnacentral:rRNA from 1 species
CUUGUAGGCGGCCCGCUAAGUCUGGUGUGAAAUCCCACAGCUUAACUGUGGAGACGCAUUGGAUACUGGCAGGCUGGAAUCCGUGAGAGGAAACUGGAAUUCCUAGUGUAGGGGUGAAAUCUGCUGAUAUUAGGAAGAACACCUGAGGCGAAGGCGAGUUUCUGGCACAGGAUUGACGCUAAUGAGCGAAAGCGUAGGGAGCAAACA